rnacentral:rRNA from 1 species
GACGGCGGGUGCUAGCGUUGUUCGGAAUUACUGGGCGUAAAGGGCGCGUAGGCGGCUUGUUAAGUCGGGUGUGAAAGCCCGGGGCUCAACCCCGGAACGGCACCCGAGACUGGCGGGCUUGAGACCGAGAGAGGAGAGUGGAAUACCCAGUGUAGAGGUGAAAUUCGUAGAUAUUGGGUGGAACACCAGCGGCGAAAGCGGCGCUCUGGCUCGGUUCUGACGCUGAGGCGCGAAAGCGUGGGGAGCAAACAGG